rnacentral:rRNA from 1 species
GACGAACGCUGGCGACGUGCUUAACACAUGCAAGUCGAACGGAAAGGCCCUGCUUUUGUGGGGUGCUCGAGUGGCGAACGGGUGAGUAACACGUGAGUAACCUGCCCUUGACUUUGGGAUAACUUCAGGAAACUGGGGCUAAUACCGGAUAGGAGCUCCUGCUGCAUGGUGGGGGUUGGAAAGUUUCGGCGGUUGGGGAUGGACUCGCGGCUUAUCAGCUUGUUGGUGGGGUAGUGGCUUACCAAGGCUUUGACGGGUAGCCGGCCUGAGAGGGUGACCGGCCACAUUGGGACUGAGAUACGGCCCAGACUCCUACGGGAGGCAGCAGUGGGGAAUAUUGCACAAUGGGCGGAAGCCUGAUGCAGCAACGCCGCGUGCGGGAUGACGGCCUUCGGGUUGUAAACCGCUUUCGCCUGUGACGAAGCGUGAGUGACGGUAAUGGGUAAAGAAGCACCGGCUAACUACGU